rnacentral:rRNA from 1 species
UCAAGCAACGAAGUGCAUGUGGUGGAUGCCUUGGCGAUCACAGGCGAUGAAGGACGUGCAAGUCUGCGAAAAGCGUGGGGGAGUUGACAAUGGAACAUUGAUCCCACGAUGUCCGAAUGGGGAAACCCGGCCCUUCAUAGAGGGCUUUCGAUGCGCGUUAGCGCAUCAAAAGCAAAAAAGUGACAAUGCUUCAGUAUCGAACGGUACUUGAAGAGAGUCUUCUAUGAAGGGUCAUCCCUGACUGAAUACAUAGGUCAGAGGAAGCGAACCCGGUGAACUGAAACAUCUAAGUAGCCGGAGGAAAAGAAAUCAACCGAGAUUCCCUGAGUAGUGGCGAGCGAAAGGGGAAGAGCCUGCAAGUGAUAGCGCAAACAUUAGGAGAGUGUUCUGGAAAGGACAGCCGUAGUGGGUGACAGCCCCGUAUCCGAAAAUGAUUGUGUGGUACUGAGCUUGCGAGAAGUAGGGCGGGACACGAGAAAUCCUGUCUGAAGAUGGGGGGACCAUCCUCCAAGGCUAAAUACUCGUGAUCGACCGAUAGUGAACUAGUACCGUGAGGGAAAGGCGAAAAGAACCCCGGGAGGGGAGUGAAAUAGAAUCUGAAACCGCAUGCAUACAAACAGUGGGAGCCCCUCCUCCAAGCGCCUUUGGCGCUUUGAGGAGGGGCAGGUGUCAGGUGUCAGGUGUCAGGUGUCAGUAUCUUUGGCGGCUUUGCCGCCGCAAAUUACUGUCACCUGUCACCUGUACCCUGAUACCUGCUCCUCCAAAAACCAAGGGUUUUUGGAGGAGGGGUGACUGCGUACCUUUUGUAUAAUGGGUCAGCGACUUACGUUUUGUUGCGAGCUUAACCGAAUAGGGGAGGCGAAGCGAAAGCGAGUCUGAUAAGGGCGUUGAGUAGCAAGGCGUAGACCCGAAACCGGAUGAUCUAUCCAUGGCCAGGCUGAAGGUGCCGUAACAGGUACUGGAGGGCCGAACCCACUAAUGUUGAAAAAUUAGGGGAUGAGCUGUGGAUAGGGGUGAAAGGCUAAACAAAUCCGGAUAUAGCUGGUUCUCUCCGAAAGCUAUUUAGGUAGCGCGUCAUGUAUCACUUCCGGGGGUAAAGCACUGUUAUGGCUAGGGGGUCAUCGCGACUUACCAACCCAUGGCAAACUCUGAAUACCGGAAAGUGCGAGCAUGGCAGACAGACUGUGGGUGCUAACGUCCAUGGUCAAGAGGGAAACAACCCAGACCGCCAGCUAAGGUCCCAAAGACAUGGUUAAGUGGGAAACGAAGUGGGAAGGCCCAGACAGCUAGGAGGUUGGCUUAGAAGCAGCCAUCCUUUAAAGAAAGCGUAAUAGCUCACUAGUCGAGUCGUCCUGCGCGGAAGAUGUAACGGGGCUCAAACCAUGCACCGAAGCUGCGGAUUCAGGGAUCAGAUGUCAGGGAUCAGGUAUCGGAUGCCAGGGAUCAAAACCUGGUGUUACGAGAUACUGUCUGACUUUGGACUGAUUGGAUCAGGGGAAAUGUACAGGGAAUCAAAAAAGCGCCAAACCCGCGAAGCGGGGAAGGUGUUGAUCCCUGAUACCUGACCUCUGAUCCCUGAAUGGUAGGAGAGCGUUCUGUAGGCCGAUGAAGGUGGAUUGUCAAGUCUGCUGGAGGUAUCAGAAGUGCGAAUGCUGACAUGAGUAGCGAUAAAGCGGGUGAAAAGCCCGCUCGCCGAAAGCCCAAGGUUUCCUGCGCAACGUUCAUCGGCGCAGGGUGAGUCGGCCCCUAAGGCGAGGCAGAAAUGCGUAGUCGAUGGGAAACAGGUUAAUAUUCCUGUACUCGAAAUAAGUGCGAUGUGGGGACGGAGAAAGUUAGGUCAGCCGCCUGUUGGAAUAGGUGGUUUAAGCGUGUAGGCGUGCCCUGUAGGCAAAUCCGCAGGGCUAAGCUGAGGCGUGAUGACGAGGCGCUACGGCGCUGAAGUGACUGAUACUCAGCUUCCAGGAAAAGCCACUAAGCUUCAGCUUGUUUUGAACCGUACCGCAAACCGACACAGGUGGGCAGGAUGAGAAUUCCAAGGCGCUUGAGAGAACUCAGGAGAAGGAACUCGGCAAAUUAACACCGUAACUUCGGGAGAAGGUGUGCCCCGGUAGGUUGAAGUCCCUUGCGGAUGGAGGCCGAUGGGGUUGCAGUGAACUGGUGGCUGCGACUGUUUAUUAAAAACACAGCACUCUGCAAACACGAAAGUGGACGUAUAGGGUGUGACGCCUGCCCGGUGCCGGAAGGUUAAGUGAUGGGGUGCAAGCUCUUGAUCGAAGCCCCGGUAAACGGCGGCCGUAACUAUAACGGUCCUAAGGUAGCGAAAUUCCUUGUCGGGUAAGUUCCGACCUGCACGAAUGGCGUAACGAUGGCCACACUGUCUCCUCCUGAGACUCAGCGAAGUUGAAAUGUUUGUGAAGAUGCAAUCUCCCCGCGGCAAGACGGAAAGACCCCAUGAACCUUUACUGUAGCUUUGCAUUGGACUUUGAACCGAUCUGUGUAGGAUAGGUGGGAGGCUUUGAAGCGGGAACGCCAGUUCUCGUGGAGCCGACGUUGAAAUACCACCCUGGUUUGUUUGAGGUUCUAACCAUAACCUGUGAAUCCAGGUUUGGGACCGUGCAUGGUGGGCAGUUUGACUGGGGCGGUCUCCUCCCAAAAGGUAACGGAGGAGUACGAAGGUACGCUAGGCUCGGUCGGACAUCGAGCUAUUAGUGCAAUGGCAUAAGCGUGCUUGACUGCGAGACAGACAAGUCGAGCAGGUACGAAAGUAGGUCAUAGUGAUCCGGUGGUUCUGAAUGGAAGGGCCAUCGCUCAACGGAUAAAAGGUACUCUGGGGAUAACAGGCUGAUACCGCCCAAGAGUUCAUAUCGACGGCGGUGUUUGGCACCUCGAUGUCGGCUCAUCACAUCCUGGGGCUGUAGCCGGUCCCAAGGGUAUGGCUGUUCGCCAUUUAAAGUGGUACGCGAGCUGGGUUUAAAACGUCGUGAGACAGUUUGGUCCCUAUCUGCCGUGGGCGCUGGAGAUUUGAGGGGGGCUGCUCCUAGUACGAGAGGACCGGAGUGGACGAACCUCUGGUGUACCGGUUGUGACGCCAGUCGCAUUGCCGGGUAGCUAAGUUCGGAAGAGAUAACCGCUGAAAGCAUCUAAGCGGGAAACUCGCCUCAAGAUGAGAUCUCCCUGGAGUCUGGCUCUAUGCU